ensembl:lncRNA
AUUAUUAUGGCAGUUCUCAAUGUCUGUUGUCUGUUUUAAGUCUGUUGUUCCUCUAACCAGUUCUCCUGCUUCCAUAGUAACCGUGCCUUACGCAGAGCCAGUUGUAACUCAUGUCGUCCUCCAUUCUGCAGUCUGAGAUGCUCAUGAAAAGUUCUUUCAUGCCCAUGGACUUCUUCUGUAUCAUGAAGUCUGGGAGGGGUCUUCUCCUCGGAACAGGUGACAAAGGUCAUAGCACACCCAUGGGUGUGACAGGCUUCAGCAUGGGCAUCACCUGUUCCACAUCCAGUGGCUUUUCUGAAUGUGCCACAACCCCAAGGAGACGCAUAAACCUCCUCUCUUCCACUGACGGGGAGGCAGGGAACAUCCCUGUGUCCGGAGCUAUAGGUGCUCGGAGGUCACUGACUCGCUUUCCAUUGCAUGGGCGGAAGAGGUGUCAUGUGGUAAUGCCAUAGCACGGUUCACGUGGACUAACGGUGCAGAGAGCAGAGCUCGGCCUCAGCGAGGUUUGCAGUAAUGUGGAUGGACAAAGCUAUUUCCAUUCUUUUUGCUUUUUCUGGUUACUUACAGCGUGCCGCUUUGCCACUUAUGAAGUGUGUUGCGCUCACCUGCUGUUUGCAUGUAAAUGACCUAUACAGAAAGCUAUCAGCAGUUAUGUAACCUUGCUGAAAAGGGUUAUUUUCUGUUUUGGAUUGCAUGCUUGUACUGAAUGUCAAAUAACUGUGUAUGUGAAAUGUAAACUGUAUUUAUGUAAACAAUAAACAGAAUUGUUUAUUGCAUGUUGGUGAAUAAGAACCUAAGUGACAGUGUUAUUUCUGUUGCUGUCAUCACGAGUUUCAUAACAAACAUUGCAAUGAAAUUUUAUGUGGUGAACAAAAUGUGGGAAUAAAACUGCAAAAUAUGAAAAGC